rnacentral:lncRNA from 1 species
CAUUGAAGGUUGCAGAGCAGGGGUGUGGCAAGGCUGGGGCAGGCAGAAGCAGAGCAGGUGGGCAAGGAGUGUAGGCUCACAUGGCCACCGAGAUUCACCAGUGCACAGCCUGCUGAUGCGACCAAUAAUGGACAUUUAAUAACCCCAAACUCAGCCUCUCCCUUUUACUUUAUUCAAGGUGCUGAGUCUUGUGCCUUUCUGGUAAGCCUUCUUUUCCAAGAAGACUUCUGCCUUGAGUGCUGGUUGGAAAGGGGAGGGGAGCCGCCUGCUCGGUCAGCUCGAGCUGAGUCCCGCGGAGUGAGAUCACAGCAAGGAAGGGGCCGUGAGAGUGUGUGGGGAGGCCUGGAAGGUGCCCGAUCGAUUUACACACCUUGGCUUCAUUUAAUCCACAAUACGUCUGUGAUCUCACUAGUCCCACAGCGACCUCGUCGGGGAGAUGCUAUUAUUCCCAUUUCACAGAGGAGGAAGCUGAGGCUCAGAGGGAUGAAGCCAUUUGCUCGAGGUCUCUGUGCCACAGAGCGGCCAAUCCAGGGCUCAGACUCAGAUCUGGGCGUCUCUAAACUCUGAUUCCACCCCGUGUCGCGUGCCCUCUGGAGAACGGAGCCCUCCCUCCGACAGCACCCGAGGGACCCCCUCGAGAGUAAGAGCCUGCACAGCCGAGGUUGACCCCGCCCCUCCUCACUGAGUAUUUGGGAGCAGAGCCCAGUGCAGUCCUGGUCCGGCCCUGCUGGCCCAUGUGUCGGAUCGGACGUCACUCAGCGUUCCUGAGAACCUCGGCCCCUCCUACCAUGGGCUCUGACUGCCGAUCCCCAGAACCCAGACUCUCCCGGGGAAGGGGGUCUGCCCCAGAACAUGUCCUCCAUCAGGGGCGUCUCCCACACUCCUGCUGCCUCCCGUUCGCUCCUGCUCGGAUCGGGGCUGGGCGCGAUGGUGUUGGUGCUGCGCCCUGCUCAGAAUUUCUCUGGAGUGUUCUCGGCUCUUCCCUUCCCUGCACAGACACGUUCUCUGCCGCUCUGCUGGAGCGGCCCGUGACCCCUCCCGCUGGGCAGCCAAGGCGUGUCCUCAGGGCCGGGGACCGCCUGGAAAGCCGGCUUCCCUCCGAUGCCUCCUGGGGCGGGUGCCUCUCUCCCCCAGACAGGCCUUCCCUCA